rnacentral:rRNA from 1 species
GAUGAACGCUGGCGGCGUGCCUCAAACAUGCAAGUCGAGCGAGGCUAUGAGUUACCGCAAGGUAAGGCAUAGCCUAGCGGCGAACGGGUGAGUAACACGUGGGUAACCUACCUGGAAGACAGGGAUAACGAUUCGAAAGGGUCGCUAAUACCUGAUAAUAUCCAUCCUGCCGGAUGGCGGAGGGAAGAAAGGGGAAACCCGCUUUCAGAUGGGCCCGCGCCCCAUCAGCUAGUUGGUAAGGUAAAGGCUUACCAAGGCGACGACGGGUAGCCGGUCUGAGAGGAUGUACGGCCACACUGGGACUGAGAUACGGCCCAGACUCCUACGGGAGGCAGCAGUUGGGAAUCUUAGGCAAUGGACGAAAGUCUGACCUAGCGACGCCGCGUGAGGGAAGAAGGCCUUCGGGUUGUAAACCUCUGUCAUGGGGGAAGAAGGAAGUGACGGUACCCCAAGAGGAAGCCCCUGCUAACUACGUG